GGGCUGGGUAAAUAUUUUUUGAACAAAGCCUGUGGUUGGGUAAAUUAUUUUCAAUACAAACCUUCAAUUGAACAAAAUAUGAAAAUCCUUUAUUUAACAAAAUGGGUCAUUCCAGGAAAUAUAUCCAUUCAUUCCCCACAAAAAAAACUAAACUCCAACUUCCCAUCACCUCUGAUUACAACAACGAGAUAUGGUAGGACUGCAGGAACUUGGAGGCU
rnacentral:lncRNA from 1 species